GACGAACGCUGGCGGCGUGCUUAACACAUGCAAGUCGAACGAAGUGGCGGACGGGUGAGUAACGCGUAAUCAACCUGCCCUUCAGAGGGGAACAACAGUUGGAAACGACUGCUAAUACCGCAUACUGAAGGAGGGGAUUGCGUCUGAUUAGCUAGUUGGGGGGGUAAUGGCCCACCAAGGCGAUGAUCCGUAGCCGGUCCGGAGAGGUGAACGGGCACCUUGGGACUUGGGAACGGGCCCGACCCCCAAGGGGGGCAGGCGUGGGGAAUUUUCGCAAAUGGACGAAAGUCUGGCGGAGCAACGCCGCGUGAUUGAUGAAGGCCUUCGGGUUGUAAAGCUAUGUUAAUCGGGAAGCGGUACCGGAAUAGAAAGCCACGGCUAACUACGUGCCAGCAGCCGCGGUAAUAC
rnacentral:rRNA from 1 species